UGAUAGGAAUGCUUAGUGGCGGACUGGUGAGUAACGCGUGAGGAACCUGCCUUCAGAGGGGACGAACAGUUGGAAACGACUGCUAAUACCGCAUGACACAUAGAGGUCACAUGACCUUUUAUGUCAAAGAUUUAUCGCUGAAAGAUGGCCUCGCGUCUGAUUAGCUAGUUGGUGAGGUAACGGCCCACCAAGGCGACGAUCAGUAGCCGGACUGAGAGGUUGACCGGCCACAUUGGGACUGAGAUACGGCCCAGACUCC
rnacentral:rRNA from 1 species